CUGGCGGCGCGCCUAAGUACAUGCAAGUCGAGCGAGAAAGGUGUAGCAAUACACUUGUAAAGCGGGCGAACGGGUGAGGAAUGCAUGGAUACCUACCUCGAUGGGGAAUAACUAGCCGAAAGGUUAGCUAAUACCGCAUACGUUUCCGGAACUUCGGUUUCGGAAAGAAAGCAAUACCGUGGGUAUUGCGCUCCUGGAUGGGCUCAUGUCCUAUCAGCUUGUUGGUGAGGUAACGGCUCACCAAGGCUUCGACGGGUAGCUGGUCUGAGAGGACGAUCAGCCACACUGGGACUGAGAUACGGCCCAGACUCCUACGGGAGGCAGCAGUGGGGAAUAUUGGACAAUGGGGGCAACCCUGAUCCAGCAAUGCCGCGUGAGUGAUGAAGGCCUUAGGGUUGUAAGGCUCUUUUGCCAGGGAAGAUGAUGACUGUACCUGGAGAAUAAGCCCCGGCUAACUUCGUG
rnacentral:rRNA from 1 species